CGGCUGGGCAGGGGGAGACGGAGAGGGGCGGCAGCUGCAGGCAGGGGGGAGGCGGUAGCAGCGUGACAGCCCGCCCGGUGAGGCCGAGGGGUUGGGGCGCAGGGACUCAUGCUGCCACAUCCGUGACAGCUACAAGCCUGUCAGUGCCUAGGCGGAGUGAGCACACGGCGUUGCUUCAGGAUGCCGUGGCUGAAAGAGCUCAUCGGGUUGUCUCACCAUUUCCCUUCACUUUGGCACAAAUAAGGGGCUACUGCGGACUCCCACGGCGUCGCUGGGUCUGGGCACGGCCUCUCUCACCUCGGGCAUCCCUCAGGCUCACUCCUCUCGAGGUCUCAGUUGCAGGUACCGAUUCCUCCAAAUGUAGCUCGGUGUACGGAGCUUUCCUACCUCAGGAGCCGGAAUUUUACACCUGUCUGACGAAUACGUUCUUUACAACGAUAACUGGUGUAUCGCAUGCUAUAUCGCGUUUUCAGUUUUAGCCUUAGCCUGAGUACUCGGGACAGAGAAGCGGGUCCUAUCUGCCAGCUCUUGCGGUAGGUGGCUGGUUUCGGCUACAGGAAAUAGAGCGCCUAGUCCUGAUGCCGUGGCUUUCAUUUACAGAACCGGUGGGUUUUCAAAAAUACAGAUGAGCCUCAGUAUCGAUACAAACCAAACUCAGUCAUUGCACAAUAGAAGACGUUGGUCCAUAUAUUCAAUUUCAAAUCUUUAGGUAACUUUUUGUCUCUGAGAAGGAUGGGAAGCCAUACAAAGUUCUGAAAGUGUAUUUGAAAUGCAGUCUCCUAACCUUUAAAAAAAAACCCACUCCAUACUUUCUAAAAAACAAUACGAUUAACAAGAUAUUUUUUCAGUAUCAGAUUGCUCAGCAGAGCUGACUUCAUGUCUUCUGUCAGAAACACACUCAAAGUAAAAGCAUAUGUAUAGUUGCUCCAGGACAAAACCAACCAUUUAAUUUUAUGGAUCUUUGGUGAUUUUUUUUUAUUAACACAGAGAAUUAGGCAAACAUAAAUUAUAGACAUCAUUAAGUCACAUCAAUGAGAGAUUCAUUCUUAAUGUAUAUUUUUUGCAACCAUGCAUGGAGUACUAGAAAGAGCAACACAUAAAACAACAUGAAAGAAGAAACACAUUUACUAAAGGUGAAUUAUUCUUUCAAGUUAUCUCAGUAAAAAUCAAAUCCUGACUCUUUUAUGUUGCUUUACAUCCUUUUCUCAGAACUAAACCAUUAAUGAAAGCCCUUUCAACAUUAAACUGUGAAACUUGCCUACAGUGUAUUUACACAAUCUGUAUAUAAAUAAACCAUACUUUCUCAGGUUUUCUAGUAUAAUAAAAUCAAUUGAUGCAUAUUCAAGCUACUGCAAUAAAUACUCCUCUGUCUUUUUUCAGGCAAUGCUGUCCAAGGAAUUAGACUAACUGAGGGAAAACUGAUGGGUUAACAUUACAGUCUUAUUGGACCCACUACUUUUUCUCAGUGUAUUACAAAUUAUUUUCAGCCCUCCAUGGUUCAUGAGUACAGCGUCACAGAAAAGAUAAGAAAUUUUUUUUCCAACAAGAUAUUAAAUUAUUUUUUUUUUCUAAAGGCUAAUGGGGCAUGGAGGAGGAAUGAAAAUAAUUACAAAAGGCUGUAGUCUUUGAUUCUUUUCAAAUAGUCCUCUAAUACAUCCUUAUUUUAAUCAAUACUUUCUUUUCUUUGGUUUUCAACAGCUUGCAUCUUAUUAUUGACACUUUGGUUUGUCUUGCAGUCAUUUACUCCAAAGCCCCAAAUAUUCAGGCUGUAAUCUCAUCCAACUACUUUAGAUCGCUUACUGAGACGUUAUUACCUCAAUGAAAUUUUAGGUGUCUUAGCCCUGGAAGGGACAAGAGGAGCAAUCUAAUUCCUCAGCUCUGCUGUAUGGGCAGAGGACACAAAGAGAGGCACUUCUGAGGACCUGCAGAAAAUGACAGCUUUCUUUGAGGCACUUAGAGUGCCUCCUUCUUUCCACGGGCUGGAACUGAGCUCCCAGUGCCAGUGGGCAAAGCCAGCCUGCAGCUAGAGCACUGAUGUCCUCUUGGAAACUCAUCUGAAACACUCCUAACACUCCAUCAACACAGGAUCCAGCCUCUAUCCCCCCUGCAGGACUGACUUUAAUGAGAUCACAGUGCUUCCACCCACAUUUUGCGUAAAGAUGCAAAAACUUGUAGGAAAGGAAGUGGGUGAUGUUUUUAGACUCUAAUUAAGCCCUGAGUCCCAACUUCCCAGCAGAAUGGCAGAACCAGCAGCCUUGGGGUAGUGUGGAUGGUGGGUGUUGCAGCUGAGCGCCUGUGCAGCCUGGAACACAUGAGGCACAGGGCCACAUCACAGAGGACACAAGCAAACCCAAGGUUGGCCUAGCAGCCCAGAUGCUCUCUGGCACAGGGUGGAGAGCUACAAGUUAUGCUUUGCUUUUCUUGUCUGUUGUAUGACACAUCUUUUCCACAUGUAAGUUUCCUGCCCUUGUUUUUUCUUCUCUUGAGGUGAGAACUGGAGCCAACAACUCCUCGUAUCUACACACAGUAGCAGAGGUUGAUGCUUUCUGCCCAAGUGUGGUGUAAUAGUUGGGGUAGUCUUGUAAGAUGUCAGUGACACAUCAGUCCCUCUCUAAUGGUAAAAUGCACACUUGCAUUCCUGUGCUUAGCUCAAGUCAUGCUCUCAGCCUUUUGUACCCAUGUGGGAGCUGAUGGCCCAUGUCCGAAAAAGCCAGACAUAAUUCUGACUGCUGCUAAUUUUUCAGGCUUCUAAAAGGGAUUUAAAUGCCUGUCUUCCUAAGCUGGAUUGUAUUGGGACUUGAGGCAAGAGAUAAGUGCCUAUCUCCCCAGAACAGGAUCUCCUUAACAUGUGUGGGUGAAUAUAGUUAAAUGCCUGAGGAGCUUUCAGGUUCAGUAGGGAGUUGCUCACAGUAAUAGGCAAUGCUGGGAAACAGUCACUUGGGAUUACAUGUGGAAUUCAUGGUAGGGGUUUUUUCACCUGCAGACAAUUUUGACAGGCUGCCUUUUUUGUUUUGGUUUGGUUUGGGUUUUUUUUUUUUUUUUUUUUUGGCAUAUGCCUUUCUUUCCCUUCCUCUAUGCAAGAAGAGUAAUUUUAGGUUCCCUCAAACUAGACAUCAUCGUGCAUAAUAUUGGGCACUUAAGCAUAGCAGGCCUGUACAGAGCAGUAAGUUUUUAGGCAGCCUAUGUUACUUAGAAAGAAAAUUUGCCAGAGGGAGAGGUGUCUGCAAGCUACACAGUCCUGGAGACUGAGAGCAGGCUCCUCUGCUGUGGGCAAUCUGAAGGGACAUACUUACUGUUCUUCAGUUACACUGGGCAAGAUAGACAAUAGAUUGUUCUAAGAUCAACCCUAAGAUCAACCUUCUGUGUAACAGAACCAUGCUACAGCAUUUCCCCAUGAAUAGGGAUGGCUUUUGGUCCCUAUCAGCCUUUUUCAGGUAUUUCACUUUUCAAGAAAAUGGUCUCAUUGGGAAAAGAAUUACCUUUGCCAGUGUGGCUAUUAGGAGGUGACACCCAGGAACACAGUAAAGGAAAGAAAUCUGAGGGUUUUUUAGCCUAGCAUCUAAGUUCACGGGAAAGAGGCAACAGUGCUCAAAUCCACAUUCCCUGAAGAAUCUACACCUUUUAGACUAGAGAAGAACAGGACGAAAUAGGGACUAAUAAAUGCAGUGGAGUCUUGGAAUAGGAACAGCUUCUCCUCAUCCACAAAAUGCUCAAACCACUCAGCUAUUAUUCAAGAAGUAUAGUGUGCAUAUUGUUCCUGCUGAGUUGUUUUGGUGUUUUUUUAAUCAAUCAUGUCUGCAACAACUUUUGUAUUUGUACAUCUAAGUAUUCAGUGUAUUUCACACUUUCAGGAUCUAUCUGGUCUGAAAAGCCUGAAGCAUGAGUAGUUUAGUCUGGUUGACAUUCCCCUUCCCUCAUAUGCCUUCUCCAUAUCACGUAAGUUCUGAGCAUCCCCCCUGCCUCUCAGUCAAGACUCUGAGAUCAGAGUUAGAAGAAGGUAUGCAGAAAAAAAGCAAUUACAAAAAUACAAUUUUUUUUUUAAAUCUCCAAACAUAUCUACCCACAAAACUUGCAUGGAGACAUAAGGCAGGUGAGGUGCUAACAAAAAUACACAAGCUUUUGUUAAAAACUUCUAUCAUAAAACACUUUAAAAUACUACAUAUAUUUAGAACUGAGCAAGGGUGUUAAUAGGCUUCACACUGUACAGGACAACUUGACUUGGCUGAAAGAACAAGAAGUUAUAUGGAAAUUCUAGAUGUAACCAGCCUUAUUUCAGCAGUGGAAAUCAGUUCUUAUGUAAUUCCUGGAUUUAUUGGAAAAUAUUUGUAAGUAGAUUAACUGAUUGAUUAACAUACAUGAAGUUUCAAAAGCACUUUGACAAAAUCCUGUGCACAAGGGAUGAUAAGCACUCAGGGGAUAAGAACUAGCAUAUAUGUGAAAGAGAAGAAUAGAAAAAAACCCCACAGAGAGUGAAACAGAGGAAUUGAUUUUCAUCAGAAAAUCACAGCAAAAGAAGAACAGGGUGUCAAGGUUCCAUUGAACAUCCAACUCUGGCUAAUACAUUCCUUAAUGCCUCAGAUGGGGUAAGGGAAAAGCUGUUGCAUUAUAAUGGCUUGGUGUUUCUGUUAGUCAGGACAGGAGAGGAGCAGAGGAAUUUCAGACAUUUAAACAAGCAGGGUGUACUGGCAAUAUUCUAACACCAAGAAAAUAAUGCUAUUAAAUAAAAAAAGAUUAUUUAUGCCCACUGUAGAAAUGGCUUUGUUGACAGUUAGUUCAUUUGUGUUAAAAGAUAUCUAGUGUCAACAACUGCCAUGUGAUUAUUUCAGUGUUUGUAUAGGGAUGUCUGCAAGCACCUGCCCAGCCCAUAGCUAAGGGUAUUUUGUUAGGGUUCAGUAAAUGGAUAGAAAGAUUAUUAUGGUGCAGAGCAAGAGUUUUCCAUGACACCCAGGUCCAUGACACCUGUCUUUGAUCUCUUCCUUAGCAAUACUGUAAGACAAACACAUCUUUCAUCAGUGUGGCUAGCACUAUUCUAUUAAGAAGGAAAUAAUAAAGCAGAAUCACCCCUCAAAAACUGGGCAUCGUGAGUUGAUCUGCACCUGUAUUUUUGUUGCAUCUGCUUGCAAGAAUACUUGAGUGCCACAUAAAAUAAAAUUGCUCAAGGCAAGGUUUGUGGGGGGAACGCAGCAGACCAGCUUUCAGGUGCACGUAAUCCUGCCCAUCCCCUUACCCAAAUGGGACUGUGACAGCACUGCUACUGUUGGUAUUGAAGGUUUGAAAGCAGAGUGCCCCGGUCUCAUCUGUGCUGUUUGUGGACACUUCCUGAAUAUUGCACUCACUGCUGUUGCAGUUGGCCAGUCAGCUUCAGGAAGCAGUGGGACUAAAUCCUUGAAGACAUGAGAGUGUUGGUUUUGGGCAUAUCAGCUAUAGACAAGCAGGUGACUCCACGCCACAAGCAGGGUGUCCUCACACUGAUGGUAGAUGGGUGACCAGGUCAAGGAAGCUGAGAGAUGGAGUUUGAAUGUCAAGAUCUUCAGAGCUGGACAGAAUUGGCCAAAAUGGCAACGAUUGUGCCCCAUGCACAUGCAUGUGAGUUUGGGACUGUGACUGAUGAUUUAGACAGUCAGUGGAGGCACGUGCUGCUGCCAGAAAAGCAGGUGUUUUUUCUUACCUGUUAUGAGCUUUUCAUACAGCUUGAAGUGACCCCAGUCUGUCUGUGUGUACCUCACAUCAGUAUGAAGAUACUUUUCCAGAUGUAUUCUUGCUUCAACAAUUGACUUCAACAACUGACAAUUGGCUUGUUAGAUUGGAUUCCUACAUGUUGUCUUUAGGACCCACACUGCUUUUACACUUGGCUCCCUGGGGGCAGUUCUGACCUCAGUGCUCCCCCAAGGAUGGGAAGAGCAUCUCUUAUUUCUGUUGAUGUUUCUAAAGACUGACUGGGUGUUUCCAGCUGCCUGUCUCUAAGACUGUGGCAUAUGAGAGAGCAAAUGCAGUGAUGGGUAAAGAGAUGUGUAAAACAAGCUGGAGGGAAGAUCAGGCCAAACAUGAUGCAAAGGAAGACAUGCAGGUGACAGAAGAUUAGAACUGUGAGAAAGCCUAGAGGUUGGUUCACUUUGGUUUAACUUCGUUAAAAAAUGUUCCAGCUCACUGCUAACCUUGGUCAUGUCAUGCAGUGGGAAGGAUGAAGAUGGGCAACCUUCUGGUCUGUAGGGUGAGGAUGUUUGAAAGCAAGUGGAGCUGAAAAGCCUGGUGCAGUAAAAUCACCUAUCUUGUGGCAGUGCUGGGGUGAGGGGCAGCUGCCCCUCUCUGACCCCAGGCAGAGAUGUGCUGAGAGGUGAAAUCACAGACAGGGGGAUGCAGCAGUGACCUGAGCUGGACAUGUGCAGGGCCCGAUGUUCUCUUUCUCCCUUCUAUAUCAAAUACACUGGGGGAUUAUUGAGAGUAGGAAAUGGUCUGGCAGUUCUUUAAACCCACUUUACCCUUCUUUUUAUCCCUUGCCUCUGGAACAGAUGCUUUGCACUACUCUUUGUCAAUAGGUCCUGUCUCCCUAAUCUCCCUAGACACUUAAUAGUGCUGCAGCUUGUUCCUCUAACCCUUUCAGCAAUCUCUGCACUGUUACUUCUCCUUGUCCUGGGACAGCCAAUGCUCUCUCCCAUUUUUCCCAAUUCCAUCUCACUUUACUUUCUAAUCACCCAGACAAACCUGUCUCUCUAUCUGCCUACAAUCACUGGAUUCUCUGUUCUCUUGAUCACACCUGCCUGUCAGUUGUCCAAAAAGAUUACGUAUGCCUUGAAUUUUCCACUUUAAUAAAUGAAUGAUUGCAGUGUUAUAUAACUUGUUUAUGUUUGGCUUGUGCACUGCUUGUUUGGACUUCGGCUAUUCUAUAGCAUUACAUUAAUUCACCAAACACAAAGGAACUGUGUGAAAAACUCACAUGGCCAAGAAAUUAACAGACUCAACAUUUUAAAUUUGAAGGGAAAAGUUAAACAAAAGAGUAAGUAUCUCCUGCUAUUUUUGAGGACGAAUUCACAUAUGGCAUAGACAAGGUAAGAGGAGACAUCUGAUGGCUGAGGAGACAUUUCUCAUUCCUUGUCCUUGGGAUGAUCCAAGUCUCAGUAAACACUGAGCUUUAUUUUUCAUUCUUCAUCUCAUUUUUCUCAGCGUAAAAGCAAAUCAAAGUGUGAUCAAUGCCAAAUUGCCUUAAGAACAACUGCAGAGAAGAUUCAGCAGGCUUUACACCUUGCACUUUCUCCAAUAUUCGUCUCUGAGGAAGUGCCAAAUGUUCCAGAAUUGUAGUUUGACCCCCUAGAAUGUAUGCCCUAGAAAUUAUCAAAGAAAUUUCAUUCUGCUUAUAAAAAUAAUUUAAAGGAUGGAAAAAGCCAAAGGCUCAUCCUGACAGCUGUUAAGAACACACUUUCAGUUUUGAUUGAUCCCUGGAACAUGCUCCCCAGGGAAGUAGUCAUGGCACCAAGCCUGCCACAGUUCAGGGAGCAUCUGGACAAUGCUCUUAGUCACAUGGUUUAUUUUUGGACAGUCCUGCAAGGAGCAGGGACCUGCAAUCAAUAAUACUUUCAGGCCCUUCCAACUUGAAAUAUUCUAUGAUUCUAUGUCUGAUUCCAAUUUUAUAUAUGAUAUUAGUCUUCAUAUUUUUUAGAGGUCAUAAACUAUUUUGAUUAUAUGUAAUCCAUUACUUAUGAUAAUUUAAUUUGAAAGUCUAUUAAGAUGGUAGUUUAAUUCAACAUCAUCAUCACAUCCCAGUCUGCUGAGACAGUACAGAAUGAAACAUUGGCCAUUUUUAAAAAUCUCUCGCUAGAUAUUCUCAAAUAUGUAACAAAGUGGGUAAUUCUUAGUCCUCUGGCUUCUCUGAGAGAUGAAAUUGCUUGAGCCUGAUAGAUGAAAUUCAGAUUCCCAUGAGGUGCAGUGGUUAGAAAUGAUGCAUUUCAGAUUCUGGAUUAGUUUUGGCUUCAUAUUACUUUCUAAUCUGCUGCUGCUGUUUCAGUAAUAUCAGCCAUUUACAUUCAGUAUUUAAUGACAAUAAGCCUAACCUAAAGGACUCAGCUAUUGCUGCUUGUAUAUAUAUGUUAAAUUCUUAGUGUCUGAGUUCGGGGAUUUUUUGUGUGUGUUUGUAUGUCUAAGAGCAUGUGUUUAAGUACCAGCAUUAUAUUAUAAAAUGGCAUAGGUAUUUUACAUGCAUAAGAAGCUUUUAAAACAGUUUUAUAACAAGUAUUUUUUCAUCAAGGAAAAGGCCUAAAUCCAAACCAACCAACAAUUAAAGAGAUGACUUGCAAUCUUUAAACCUACUUCUUAAAACUAGCCUAUUUGUUUUCCAGAAACUUGCAAAAAUACCACCACCCAGUCAGAACUGUCACUCUAACUGUUAAUUGAUAAGUAUAGGAUAAGCUGCUUUAGCAAUACAGAACAUUUUAUUCCAUAAUCCCAGCUAGAAGAUGUUUUCCUACCCCCUGACUUCACUACAAAGCGGAUUUAUCUAAAGUCUAGAUUACUAAAGUGAGUUUAGACUACUUUAGUAAUAAAAAAAAGUAUAUAUAUAUAUAUAUAUAUAUAUAUAUAUAUAUAUAUAUAUACAUUGUAAAUGUAUGUGCACAUUUAUGUGUACAGAGACUAAAAUAACAUUUUCAAAUUGUAUUAAGCAUGUGGAAGGCGAAUGGCAUUUUCUGCCACCCAGGAGUGAAUAGAGAAGUGUUUAAAGGUAUUGGUUUAUGCUGUAACUUCCUUACUCAAAAGAGUAGGGAUUUUUGUAUAUAAAUCACAUUACAGCGUUGUUACUACUUUGAAUAAAGGAGUUAUAUUGGUUGUAACACGGACUAGCUACAAAAACACUAGUGAUGGAGUCCAAAUUCUCCUGAUAACCAUGUAUUGGAGUUGCAAGCCCUAGCAAACAAGUUUUUACCCAUCAAAAGUGUAACUCCAGAAGCCUUUACUACUGUUUCAGAUGAAAGCAGAAUAAGCAACAAAAACCAUACGUUACGUACAGGAUGAGUGGCUUUAUGCUCAUAGUUUCACUAGCUGGGUUUCUAAUUGCAAAACCAAGGGGGUUUCCUGCAACUUGCAUGUUGGGUCUUGCACCCAUUUCACUUCUGGCCAGCCUUUUAUUGGGGUUUUGCUUCUUAAUUAUGAGACUAACAGCCAUUUCACUGUGUUUUAGUUGGUUUAUUAGUUUGUUUUUGAUUUUUUUCUCAAGGAGAAGCCAAGAUUUCAUAUCUGGCUUCCCUUGGUUUUUGUUUGUCAUGAUAUCAAUUAUGCCCUUGUUUUGCAUUGUCUUGCAACCAAUGCUUACAAUAUGCCAUUAAUAGCAAUCAAGGAUCUGGUUCUGUCUUUUUUGUUGUUGAAUAAAUAGGGAGAGUAUGAAAUGAAAGAGAACUUUACUGCUUCAUCAAAAUACAGUUUGUUUACAGAAAAGUGUACAAAUUUGCCCAUAAUCAGACUCAAAGAAAUGGCCUCUUUUCUACCUGCAGUUUGAUUUUUUUUCUCUAUUUAAUUAUUAACUGAUCCUGCUGCUAAUCAAAAAAAAUAGUUUAAAUCAUGAUAUUAUGAAAAAAAAAUUUACUCAGCUUCUGAAAUGCAUAUGGAAGAAUGCAUAAUCUGUAGUUCAGGCACAGGAUCAGGCACUGAAGGGCCACACUGGAUGAGAUGGAAAAUCAGCACAGAUUUGUAUAUAUCUGUUAUAGCAGCCAGGAUCAGGUAUCUCAGAGGAAGUUUAAAAUCUUCUCAGCAAACAACCUCCUGCCUGGUAAUCUCUACUUUCCUUCUCUACCUAUUAUUCUGCUAUUUAGUAAUGCUUGUUAUGCUAGGAUUCUGAAGAUUUUAUAUCCUUUUUUUUAUCCUAUUGCCUUUAAUUGUCUCUUUAUAUGUAUUUGAUAUGUAGGUGAUACUCAAAAAUAUUUUUUAAGUUUAUUGUCUCUUCUAGGUCUGCUGCAUUUUAUUUAUAUGAUUAUAUAUAUCAUGUCACAAAAUAUUUUUAUACAAUAUUUUAUAAUUUACCACCUUCUGAUUUCAUUUCAUAGUCCUUUACUUUUGUAUGAGGCAGGAAAGAAAAAUUCUCAGUCUAUCUUUAAACAAUUUAAUUCAUAAGCUGCUUUUUUGUCUUACUCAUUUCCUGUUUACUGUAAAAGGUCUUCUAUGUCUCUUCAGAGGGAAUUCACAAUUCAACACAAUCUGUCAACUUUUAUUUAGACAUCCCCUGUUCAAACUGUACAAUGGAGUGUAUACUGUAACUGAGACUUCAACACAGAAAGAGGUGUUGAUAUAAAGAGUAUUUCAUAUAUUUAUAGAACAAAACUACAAGUGUAAACUAGGCAGAGACUAAGGGAUGAGUAAUAAGUGAACCACCAACAAAGGAUGUUCCUGUUAAGGCCUGCACAGAAUCAGCUAGUCAUGCCAGGCUGCUGUCUACCCUAUUUUGAACUGCAAGGUCAUAUGAAAAUACAGAUGACAACUGCUCUGGAUGUUUUCCUAAAAUUCUGCUUCUGGGCUCUCAUGCUGUCUCCAGCACUGGUGCAUCUCAUUACAGCCAUGCAGCCCUGGCAUUAGAGGGUGAAAUCUCUUCACAUGCUGGGAGUGAUGAGAUCGGUGCCGCCGAUGGAGAUGAGCCAGGAUAUCUAAUGCUGCAAAAUGCCUUUGAGAGCAUCUGCCCUCUCAUCAGCACACACAACUGCUCUCCAUCUGUGCCAUUCUCCAUACUCUGGGACUGCAUCACCCCUUCACCAAUUAGGCCAUUAUGCUGCUAAGGACAAUUUCUGGAGGCUGCUGCCUCUGACCUUUCUGCAGAGAAACCCAAGCCCACGCUCUCAUCUCUCAAUGCUGCGACUCUUCUGAGGAUCUGGCUCUUGAGGGAGGAGGGUCACUACCAGAAUACCAAGCACUCCCAAUUGCCACCCAGCUCCAGCAGCCUUGGAAGCAGAAGAAAUCCUCCUGUAUUUUGUGAUACUUAGUGGAUUUGCAAAAUCUUAGGCUUUGCCUAUUUUUCAGUGUCCUUUUUUAUUUAUUUAUGGAAUAAACUAGUUGAAAAUAUUCAAACUGAGAAAUAAGACCUGUUGUGUGUCUAGAAAGAAAUAUAUCUGUUAAGAUCAGUAACAAUUACAUGACAAAACCCCUAUGGACUAACAGAGUCAGCAAAAAAAAAACCACUGGUUUUCUAACUGAGAUUUCUUUUUUUUUUGGAUUUUUUAUAAUCUGAUAAUCUGCCAGCUCCUCAAGCAUAUUUCUUCACCUCCUAAUAUUUUGAAAGGCACAGUCACUGUCUCUUGCAUCUUUAGCACCCACCAAUUCCAAUCAAAAUAUCAGCAAUGAAGAUGGAUAUCCCUGUCAGGCAUCACUUCAUCUCCUAGUAGAGCAAGGAAGGCAAAGCCAGUAUCAUAAAUCACUUUCCUUCAAGGGUAUAGUCAAGUGACAUGGGAAGUUAAAGGUUUAAAAUAAAGUUUCAACUUCACCUGUCACUUUCUCUGGCACAGAAUGACAAAAUCCCAGUGGAUACAGUCCAGCUCCAGGAAUGAGAGAGAGGCUGCAUGGUCUUAUGGUCCAUAUUGCCAACUAUCUCCAGGACUAGUGCUAAUUGUGAUCCUUGGAAUUGUUCAAUCUGAUUCUAUGUUUCUAUGGCCAGGAAAAGUCAAUUUGCAGCUCUUAGUAUCUUUUCAAUAGUUAUACAAAUUCCUUAGGCUGAGAAUUUUCUCUGAUAAUGCAUGAAGGGCAAGAAUCAAAGCCCGGCAAGUCCAUGGAUUGCAUCUCAGUAGGCUUUGAUUCUCUUUGGACAUGACACCCAGCUGCAAAAUGAAAGGGCAGAGUUGCCCCUCUAUUCAUCAUAGAAUAUUCAAGAAUACUGUAGAAAGGAGGAUAGGGAGGGAGGGCUGGCUGGAAAUGCCCAGCCCUUUUUCAGGUCUGUAAAAACAGAUGACAAACAGAAAAUAAAGCAGCAGCCAGAAUGACCUUCCAACACAAAAUGUUCCCCUCCAUCAAUCCUAACUAAAAGGCCUUGUAGUAGGGCUCCAGUAGUCUCUUUGAGCAAGCCAAAAACCAAUCCUUCAUCUUCUAAAUCCAUGGGGGCUUUUUCAGCUUUAAUAGUGGCCAGUCUGCUUUUGGGUUGGUUUCCCAAGAGUGGAAAAAACCCAGUGAUAACUGAAAUGUAAAUACUGUAGAAAAUCUAUUAUCCAAACUGUGACUCUUCUGCUUUAUCACUAGUCACUGCAACACUGCCUUUGAGUCUUAAAUUUAUUUACUGACCAUAAGGCCCCUGUAAUUAAACCAUUAAUUUGCUCCAGAAAGUGACCCUAGGUUAAAAAAAAAAAAAA